UGCCCAGCAACUCCUAUCUCUACCUCCUCGCGGUACUGGCCGGGGUACGAGUAACAUAAGGGAAGAUCGCGUAGCCAACGAACUCUGGUCGUAUGCUGACGGGGAAGG
rnacentral:ribozyme from 1 species